rnacentral:rRNA from 1 species
AUACGGAAGGUCCGGGCAUUAUCCGGAUUUAUUGGGUUUAAAGGGAGCGCAGGCGGCACUUCAAGCGUGACGUUAAAUUUCGGGGCUCACCCCCGUUGUGCGUCGCGAACUGUUGUGCUUGAGUAGGCGGCAGGGAGGCGGAAUUCGCGGUGUAGCGGUGAAAUGCUUGGAUAUCGCGAGGAACUCCGAUAGCGCAGGCAGCCUCCCGUUGCUUUACUGACGCUCAUGCUCGAAGGUGCGGGUAUCGAACAGGAUUAGAUACCCUGGUAGUCCGCACUGUAAACGAUGGAUGCCCGCUGUUGGGCCUUUUGGGUUCAGUGGCCAAGAGAAAUCGUUAAGCAUCCCACCUGGGGAGUACGCCGGCAACGGUGAAACUCAAAUGAAUUGACGGGG